rnacentral:tRNA from 1 species
ACUAAAAUAGUUUAAAUAAAAUAUUAAUCUUGUAAAUUAAAGUUGACUUUCUUUUAGUA